UACGUAGGGUGCGAGCGUUAAUCGGAAUUACUGGGCGUAAAGUGUGCGCAGGCGGUUCGUUAAGUCAGAUGUGAAAGCCCCGGGCUCAACCUGGGAACUGCAUUUGAAACUGGCGGGCUUGAGUAUGGCAGAGGGGGGUGGAAUUCCGCGUGUAGCAGUGAAAUGCGUAGAGAUGCGGAGGAACACCGAUGGCGAAGGCAGCCCCCUGGGCCAAUACUGACGCUCAGGCACGAAAGCGUGGGGAGCAAACAGG
rnacentral:rRNA from 1 species